rnacentral:rRNA from 1 species
AAUAGAUACCCUGGUAGUCCACGCCGUAAACGAUGAGUGCUAAGUGUUAGAGGGUUUCCGCCCGUUUAGUGCUGCAGCUAACGCAUUAAGCACUCCGCCUGGGGAGUACGGCCGCAAGGCUGAAACUCAAAGGAAUUGACGGGGGCCCGCACAAGCGGUGGAGCAUGUGGUUUAAUUCGAAGCAACGCGAAGAACCUUACCAGGUCUUGACAUCCUCUGACAACCCUAGAGAUAGGGCUUUCCCCUUCGGGGGACAGAGUGACAGGUGGUGCAUGGUUGUCGUCAGCUCGUGUCGUGAGAUGUUGGGUUAAGUCCCGCAACGAGCGCAACCCUUGAUCUUAGUUGCCAGCAUUCAGUUGGGCACUCUAAGGUGACUGCCGGUGACAAACCGGAGGAAGGUGGGGAUGACGUCAAAUCAUCAUGCCCCUUAUGACCUGGGCUACACACGUGCUACAAUGGAUGGUACAAAGGGCUGCAAACCUGCGAGGGUAAGCGAAUCCCAUAAAGCCAUUCUCAGUUCGGAUUGCAGG